UUCCUGAUUGUCCACUGGCUAAGACUCUGAGCUUCCAAAGCAGGGGACCCAGGUUCCAGCCCUGGUCAGGGAA
rnacentral:tRNA from 1 species